UGUAUACGGUACUAAAUCUGCAUAGCAGGG
rnacentral:piRNA from 1 species